CCUCUUCACCAGCGACACUUUCUUUCUGUUAAGUUGUGUACGUAUACAGAAAAACGACCAUGCCCAGGUUCAAGCAUGAUUUUUGCAAUGUUAAUAUUUUCUCUCUUUGCUUUGAAUGUAAGAUCUAUUAGAAAUGUGUUUUUUUCUCUGGUACUUUUUAAUAUGAACAUGUUGCAAUUCUCUAUUUUUUUUUAGUUAUCUAAUUUACUUUUAAAUUUUUUUCCCCUGUGUGCAUUGGAUUCCAAGAUGAUAAUAGUAUGUGAUUCCUUUCUAUCAUGAGAUCACAACCUAUCUGAAACUAAUCUGUAGUGACAUGGCAUGAUAUGGAUGGAGGUUCCAAGGUGAUAGAUGGUGAAGGGGAGAUUAGUUUUGUGUGAUGCAGUGGGAAGAAGAAGCCAGAGACAUGACGAAGGAAAGGCUUGCAAUGUUGAUAAGACAUGGGCUUAGUGGUCUUUAUUGUUCAAGUUUACUUAAUCAUGGUUUAUUUCUUUCUGUUGUAGGUCUUUUGGGUAGGUUUUGAUUUAUUAGAUUUGCAUUUCAAAUUUAGAGUUGUAGAGUGUGAAGGAGCGAGGAACCAUGUAAACCUAUGGUCUAAAGAAGUAGAGGCUUUGUAAUUAGCAUAUUGUUUGAUUUGUUAAUAAAACAUGUGUCAAACA